UAGGGAAUCUUCCACAAUGGGCGAAAGCCAGAUGGAGCAACGCCGCGUGUGUGAUGAAGGGUUUCGGCUCGUAAAACACUGUUGUAAGAGAAGAAUGACAUUGAGAGUAACUGUUCAAUGUGUGACGGUAUCUUACCAGAAAGGAACGGCUAAAUACGUGCUAG
rnacentral:rRNA from 1 species